rnacentral:tmRNA from 1 species
GGGGCCGCCAUGGUUUCGACGGGGGUUACAAAGCGGAUGAGGGCAUGCCGGGAUUUCAGUCACCCCGUAAAACGCUGAAAAUUCUUAGUCGCAAACGACCAAGACUACGCUCUCGCUGCUUAAUCGCGCGGGACUCUGCACUACUUCUCUCAUCGGGUAGGCCGGGCAACCGGCAGCAGAGUCAUUUAGAUGGGAUCGCUUCGGCUCGGGUUACUUGAGACGGGGCUAAAUCUAAGGUAACUCGCUGGUGCCAAGCCCGUCGGUUGGCGUGUCACCGGUUAAAAGUACUCAAAUGAGCCAGACUACGCAUGUAGAUCUCUUCGUGGAGGGCUUUCGGACGCGGGUUCGACUCCCGCCGGCUCCACCA